CCUACGGGAGGCAGCAGUGAGGAAUAUUGGUCAAUGGCCGCAGGGCUGAACCAGCCAAGUCGCGUGAGGGAUGACGGUCCUAUGGAUUGUAAACCUCUUUUGUCAGGGAGCAAAGGGCGCCACGUGUGGCGCUUUGCGAGUACCUGAAGAAAAAGCAUCGGCUAACUCCGUGCCAGCAGCCGCGGUAAUACGGAGGAUGCGAGCGUUAUCCGGAUUUAUUGGGUUAAAAGGGUGCGCAGGCGGAAUGUCAAGUCAGCGGUAAAAUUUCGGGGCUCAACCCCGUCGUGCCGUUGAAACUGGCGUUCUUGAGUGAGCGAGAAGUAUGCGGAGUGCGUGGUGUAGCGGUGAAAUGCAUAGAUAUCACGCAGAACUCCGAUUGCGAAGGCAGCAUACCGGCGCUCAACUGACGCUCAUGCACGAAAGCGUGGGUAUCGAACAGGAUUAGAUACCCCAGUAGUC
rnacentral:rRNA from 1 species